rnacentral:rRNA from 1 species
AAAGCGAGCGGCGGAUGGGUGAGUAACACGUGGGGAACCUGCCCCUAAGUCUGGGAUACCAUUUGGAAACAGGUGCUAAUACCGGAUAAUAAAGCAGAUCGCAUGAUCAGCUUUUGAAAGGCGGCGUAAGCUGUCGCUAAGGGAUGGCCCCGCGGUGCAUUAGCUAGUUGGUAAGGUAACGGCUUACCAAGGCGACGAUGCAUAGCCGAGUUGAGAGACUGAUCGGCCACAUUGGGACUGAGACACGGCCCAAACUCCUACGGGAGGCAGCAGUAGGGAAUCUUCCACAAUGGACGCAAGUCUGAUGGAGCAACGCCGCGUGAGUGAAGAAGGUUUUCGGAUCGUAAAGCUCUGUUGUUGGUGAAGAAGGAUAGAGGUAGUAACUGGCCUUUAUUUGACGGUAAUCAACCAGAAAGUCACGGCUAACUACGUGCCAGCAGCCGCGGUAAUACGUAGGUGGCAAGCGUUGUCCGGAUUUAUUGGGCGUAAAGCGAGCGCAGGCGGAAAAAUAAGUCUAAUGUGAAAGCCCUCGGCUUAACCGAGGAACUGCAUCGGAAACUGUUUUUCUUGAGUGCAGAAGAGGAGAGUGGAACUCCAUGUGUAGCGGUGGAAUGCGUAGAUAUAUGGAAGAACACCAGUGGCGAAGGCGGCUCUCUGGUCUGCAGCUGACGCUGAGGCUCGAAAGCAUGGGUAGCGAACAGGAUUAGAUACCCUGGUAGUCCAUGCC